rnacentral:rRNA from 1 species
AGCGGAGGAAAAGAAACUAACAAGGAUUCCCCUAGUAACUGCGAGUGAAGCGGGAAAAGCUCAAAUUUGUAAUCUGGCGGUCUUGGGCCGUCCGAAUUGUAAACUAGAGAAGUGUUAUCCGCGCUGGACCGUGUACAAGUCCCCUGGAAUGGGGCGUCAUAGAGGGUGAGAAUCCCGUCUUUGACACGGACUACCAGGGCUUUGUGAUGCGCUCUCAAAGAGUCGAGUUGUUUGGGAAUGCAGCUCAAAAUGGGUGGUAAAUUCCAUCUAAAGCUAAAUAUUGGCGAGAGACCGAUAGCGAACAAGUACCGUGAGGGAAAGAUGAAAAGAACUUUGGAAAGAGAGUUAAACAGUACGUGAAAUUGCUGAAAGGGAAACGCUUGAAGUCAGUCGCGUUGGCUAGGGAUCAGCCUUACUUUUGUGGGGUGUACUUCCUUGUCGACGGGUCAGCAUCAGUUUUGGUUGCUGGAUAAAGGCUGGGGGAAUGUGGCAUCUUCGGAUGUGUUAUAGCCCCUGGUUGGAUACAGUGGCUGGGACUGAGGAACUCAGCACGCGCAAGCUGUGCUUAGGAUGCUGGCAAAAUGGCUUUAAUCGACCCGU